rnacentral:rRNA from 1 species
AGCGAACGCUGGCGGCAGGCCUAACACAUGCAAGUCGAACGGAUCCUUCGGGAUUAGUGGCGGACGGGUGAGUAACACGUGGGAACGUGCCCUUUGGUUCGGAACAACUCAGGGAAACUUGAGCUAAUACCGGAUGUGCUCUUCGGGGGAAAGAUUUAUCGCCAUUGGAGCGGCCCGCGUCCGAUUAGCUAGUUGGUGAGGUAACGGCCCACCGAGGCGACGAUCAGUAGCUGGUCUGAGAGGAUGAUCAGCCACACUGGGACUGAGACACGGCCCAGACUCCUACGGGAGGCAGCAGUGGGGAAUCUUGCGCAAUGGGCGAAAGCCUGACGCAGCCAUGCCGCGUGAAUGAUGAAGGUCUUAGGAUUGUAAAAUUCUUUCAGCGGGGACGAUAAUGACGGUACCCGCAGAAGAAGCUCCGGCUAACUUCGUG